UCCUUGAUAGUAUAGUGGUGAGUAUCUCCGCCUGUCACGCGGAAGACCCGGGUUCAAUUCCCGGUCAAGGAG
rnacentral:tRNA from 1 species